UACGGAGGGUGCGAGCGUUGUCCGGAAUCACUGGGCGUAAAGGGCGCGUAGGCGGCUUCUCAAGCGUGUGGUGAAAGUCCGGGGCUCAACCCCGGAUCGGCCGUGCGGACUGGGGAGCUCGAGUUCUGUAGAGGCGGGUGGAAUUCCGGGUGUAGCGGUGGAAUGCGUAGAGAUCCGGAGGAACACCAAUUGCGAAGGCAGCUCGCUGGAACGUAACUGACGCUGAGACGCGAAAGCGUGGGGAGCAAACAGG
rnacentral:rRNA from 1 species